GCAUCGUCUCCUUACUCUUCGUACUCAGAUGAGCUUCUCCAGAAGGAGGAUAAUGUGCGUUUGAAGCGUUGUAUCUAUGCCACUCAAAGAGAUACCCUCCAUCCAAUCACCACUCAUAAUGUUGUCGAUGAUGCUUCCGAUCCAGUACUUAAUAGUUUCCGUCGUUGCAAGCUUUUCAACGAGACGAGUGAUUGAGUUUAAGUGAUAUUUCAUCCGGAAUUCUUAUCGUCGACCAAUCCGUUGUUUGGAUUGGAUUAUGAGGAUUUCGUCAGAGGUUGCCAUUUGGGUGUUUUCCCAAGUGAUUACGAACCUUGGGGAUACACUCCUUCUGAGUGUACAGUAAUGGGAAUUCCUUCCAUAUCAACCAAUUUGUCAGGCUUUUGAUGCUUCAUGGGCGAUCAUAUUGCCGACCCAAUGAGCUAUGGAAUUUACGUCGUAGAUCGUCGAUUUAUUUUUCUAGAUGAUUCUCUCAACCAACUUGCCCAGUAUAUGUUUGAUUUUACGCGACUUAAUCGGCGCCAGCAUAUCAUUCAACGCAACCAAACCGAGUGGUUAUCCGAUCUUCUUGAUUGGAGAAACCUCUCAGUGUAUUAUCGUAAAGCUCGUCAAAUGGCUUUGCAUGCCGUUUUCCCAGAAUUCAAUCUGGAUGAAGAUGAGAACGGUAAUGGAGUUGGAAGAUUGUCGUAUCCACGACCUAUUUCGGAACCACCUUCUCCCAGAUCAUCUCGUGCAACAACUCCAAUCCCAUCAGAUCAAUCGGACGAAGAUGACACAGUUGAUGAAGAACGUUAGCUUAGAGAAUUAAAUGUCGUUGCGGAAGAGAGGCGAUGAACCUGGAGGACUGCACCGAACCGUAGUGUUGAAAAGGUUAAACACUCCGAUUCGUAUUAGGAUGAUACUACUAA